UACAGAGGGUGCAAGCGUUAAUCGGAAUUACUGGGCGUAAAGCGUGCGUAGACGGUUGCGUAAGUCAGAUGUGAAAGCCCCGGGCUCAACCUGGGAAUUGCAUUUGAGACUGCGUAGCUAGGGUGCGGAAGAGGGAAGCGGAAUUUCCGGUGUAGCGGUGAAAUGCGUAGAUAUCUGAAGGAACAUCAGUGGCGAAAGCGACUUCCUGGACCAAUACUGACGCUCAUGUGCGAAAGCGUGGGGAGCAAACAGG
rnacentral:rRNA from 1 species